ensembl:snRNA U2 U2 spliceosomal RNA
GUUGCCUCUUGGCCUUUUGGCUAAGAUCGAAUGUAGCCUCUGUUCUUUCCUGUUUAAAUCUGAUUUUUUUCCCAUCGCUUUAUGGGGUGUGGCAAUGCAUGCAUUAAAGGAAAGAGAAACAUUUAAGAAAAAAACUUAAAAUUGCAUUUUGAGUUUUUAAAAAUAUGUAACAUCU